UGGUGUAGAUUUGAUGA
rnacentral:misc_RNA from 1 species